rnacentral:rRNA from 1 species
UCCAGACUCCUACGGGAGGCAGCAGUGGGGAAUAUUGCACAAUGGGGGAAACCCUGAUGCAGCGACGCCGCGUGAGUGAAGAAGUAUUUCGGUAUGUAAAGCUCUAUCAGCAGGGAAGAAAAUGACGGUACCUGAUUAAGAAGCCCCGGCUAACUACGUGCCAGCAGCCGCGGUAAUACGUAGGGGGCAAGCGUUAUCCGGAUUUACUGGGUGUAAAGGGAGUGCAGGCGGCGCGGCAAGUCUGAUGUGAAAGCCCGGGGCUCAACCCCGGGUCUGCAUUGGAAACUGUCGAGCUAGAGUGUCGGAGGGGUAAGUGGAAUUCCUAGUGUAGCGGUGAAAUGCGUAGAUAUUAGGAGGAACACCAGUGGCGAAGGCGGCUUACUGGACGAUGACUGACGCUGAGGCUCGAAAGCGUGGGGAGCAAACAGGAUUAGAUACCCCGGUACC